AGGUAAAAUAAAGCCAAAAGCUUGAAGGAAGGAAGGAGGGAUUAGCCAAGCGGGCAUGUCGGGGGAGAGAGCCCUGGGCAGAGAGAACUAGAGUAAAGGGUCUAAGGCAGGGUGGACAGGGUGAUGGGGGAGGCGGUCAUAAGAAGAGGGACAGAGAAGUAAGGACAGAGGGAACAUGGGCCGGAUGGGCUUGAGGCCAAACCCAGAAAGAAGAGAGAAGACAAACUGAAGCAAGUUCUCUAAACCUUCUGAUUAAUAGUUACCGAACUCCGUUAUUCUCCAAAAAAGUCCUGUGGUGACAUGGGAGCAACUAAAUGUCCAUCAAGAGAGGAAUGGAUAAAGAAGAUGUGGCACAUAUAUACAGUGAAAUAUUGCUCAGCCAUAAGAAGGAACAAAAUUGUGUCAUUUACAGAGAGGUGGAUGGAUCUAGAGACUUUCACAUAGAGUAAAAGUCUGGAAAUGACCACUGUGUUCUCACCACCUCUCAGAGACAAUGGAGAAGAUGGAUAGAGAUGCAACUCAUUUCUACAGGAUGGAAGGAAAUGAUAUAAACUGUACGAAGUGCAAUUAAAGUAAGAUAUUGGAAGAAACUAAGUUUCAGAAUCCCAAAGGGGUUUGUGAGAUUUCUUUGAAAAUUUCUCAGAAAAUGCUAAUAACAACAUAUUAAGACUCUAAUUUUCCAAAAACAAAGGCAUGGAUAAGAAGGCCACUCCUGGCCACUCUUAUCAAAUUCCUUCCUGGAUAGGAAUUCAAGUAAGGGAGAAAUUUAAGCCAAAUCAUCUUUUGUCCCCAUGUCCAGCUCUGGGGUGGCCAGAUGGAUGAAUGGCCAUUCACUAAGAAUAAGAUGUGCUCUCUGGUUC
ensembl:lncRNA